rnacentral:rRNA from 1 species
AACGAACGCUGGCGGCAGGCUUAACACAUGCAAGUCGAGCGCCCCGCAAGGGGCGCGGCAGACGGGCGAGUAACGCGGGGGAAUCGACCCAUCUCUACGGACAAAGGCAUGAAAAGCUCUGCUGAAACCGAUAACGCCCUUCGGGAGAAAGAUUUCUCGGAGAUGGAUGAGACCCGGUUGGAUUAGCUGGUUGGGGGGGUAAAGGCCUACCAAGGGGACGAUCCAUAGCUGGUCUGAGAGGAUGAUCAGCCACACUGGGACUGAGACACGGCCCAGACUCCUACGGGAGGCAGCAGUGGGGAAUAUUGGACAAUGGGCGCAAGCCUGAUCCAGCCAUGCCGCGUGAGUGAUGAAGGCCCUAGGGUUGUAAAGCUCUUUCACCGGUGAAGAUAAUGACGGUAACCGGAGAAGAAGCCCCGGCUAACUUCGUGCCAGCCGCCGCCGUAACAC